GAACGCUGGGGGCGUGCUUAACACAUGCAAGUCGAACGAUGAAGCCCUUCGGGGUGGAUUAGUGGCGAACGGGUGAGUAACACGUGGGCAAUCUGCCCUGCACUCUGGGACAAGCCCUGGAAACGGGGUCUAAUACCGGAUAUGACCGUCCAUCGCAUGGUGGAUGGUGUAAAGCUCCGGUGGUGCAGGAUGAGCCCGCGGCCUAUCAGCUAGUUGGUGAGGUAGUGGCUCACCAAGGCGACGACGGCUAGCCGGCCUGAAAGGGCGACCGGCCACACUGGGACUGAGACACGGCCCAGACUCCUACGGGAGGCAGCAGUGGGGAAUAUUGCACUAUGGGCGAUAGCCUGAUGCAGCGACACCGCGUGAGGGAUGACGGCCUUCGGGUUGUAAACCUCUUUCAGCAGGGAAGAAGCGAAAGUGACGGUACCUGCAGAAGAAGCGCCGGCUAACUACGUGCCAGCAGCCGCGGUAAUACGUAGGGCGCAAGCGUUGUCCGGAAUUAUUGGGCGUAAAGAGCUCGUAGGCGGCUUGUCACGUCGGUUGUGAAAGCCCGGGGCUUAACCCCGGGUCUGCAGUCGAUACGGGCAGGCUAGAGUUCGGUAGGGGAGAUCGGAAUUCCUGGUGUAGCGGUGAAAUGCGCAGAUAUCAGGAGGAACACCGGUGGCGAAGGCGGAUCUCUAGACCGAUACUGACGCUGAGGAGCGAAAGCGUUGGGAGCGAACAGGAUUAGAUACCCUGGUAGUCCACGCCGUAAACGGUGGGCACUAGGUGUGGGCAACAAUCAACGUUAUCCGUACCACAGCUAACACAUUAAGUGCGCCGCCUGGGGAGUACGACCGCAAGGCUAUAUACUCAAAGGAAUUGACGGGGACCCGCACAAGCGGCGGAGCAUGUGGCUUAAUUCGACUCAACACGAAGAACCUUACCAAGGCUUGACAUACACCGGAAAACAUCAGAGAUGGUGCCCCCCUUGUGGUCGGUGUACAGGUGGUGCAUGGCUGUCGUCAGCUCGUGUCGUGAGAUGUUGGGUUAAUACCCACAAAGGAGCACAACCUUUGUGCAGUUUGCAAACAGCCCCUUGUGGUGCUGGGGACUCACGGGAGACCUCCGGGGUCAACUCGGAGGAAGGUGGGGACGACAUCGAGUCAUCAUGCCCCUUAUGUCUUGGGCUGAACACGUGCUACAAUGACCGGUACAAUGAGCUGCGAUACCGUGAGGUGGAGCGAAUCUCAAAAAGCCGGUCUCAGUUCGGAUUGGGGUCUGCAACUCGACCCCAUGAAGUCGGAGUCGCUAGUAAUCGCAGAUCAACAUUGCUGCGGUGAAUACGUUCCCGGGCCUUGUACACACCGCCCGUCACGUCACGAAAGUCGGUAACACCCGAAACCGGUGGCCCAACCC
rnacentral:rRNA from 1 species